rnacentral:rRNA from 1 species
UAGGGAAUCUUCGGCAAUGGGGGGAACCCUGACCGAGCAACGCCGCGUGAGUGGAGAAGGUUUUCGGAUCGUAAAGCUCUGUUGUUAAGGAAGAACGAGUGUGAGAAUGGAAAGUUCAUACUGUGACGGUACUUAACCAGAAAGGGACGGCUAACUACGUGCCAGCAGCCGCGGUAAUACGUAGGUCCCGAGCGUUGUCCGGAUUUAUUGGGCGUAAAGCGAGCGCAGGCGGUUAGAUAAGUCUGAAGUUAAAGGCAGUGGCUCAACCAUUGUAGGCUUUGGAAACUGUUUAACUUGAGUGCAGAAGGGGAGAGUGGAAUUCCAUGUGUAGCGGUGAAAUGCGUAGAUAUAUGGAGGAACACCGGUGGCGAAAGCGGCUCUCUGGUCUGUAUCUGACGCUGAGGCUCGAAAGCGUGGGGAGCGAACAGG